UGACGACGUGGAAAAUCAAUACCCCCGACCGACCGACCGACCGACCGACCCACCGGCGAUGGCGUCGGGACGCGCAGACGCGACGCGGCGUCUCCGUCGUCAUCGUCGUCGUCGUCGACGUCGUCGUCGUCGUCGUCGACGUUUGUUCGCUCGCUCGCUCGUUCGUUCGUUCUCGUCUACCCUCCUGAUUCCCUCAACGCCGACGUGGCCGGCGCGACCAGGACAAACGAUCAGCUGGUCGGACGGACUGGGUGCGGGCAGGUCAAGAAACAGAGCCGCGUUUCCCGCCAUGAAUCGCCCUUACACCGGGAUGAAAGAGCAUUUGUAAUGAAACUUUUUUUAGGUGGGAGAUACGAGCGAGGGCUGCCAAGUGUUUCCGAUGCUCUUUUAUUUGAGAGGAGAAACGCUUACAUGAUAAAAUAUCAAGUAUUUUCCUCUUUUCAACUUGACGUCCUCUGUAGCAAACAUUAAUCGCUUGAUGUGCCCAAGUAUUUGGGAAGAACGAUAAAACCGCCUGAAACGGACACGCACGGUCGAACUGAACCACCGAUAACCGUUCCAGCGAGAGGUGUAAGCUCGUAGCGACUAGCUUUACGGACCGCAGAGAAUUCCCGGGAGGACCUGGAUCCGUGACGCUGAAAACCGCAGGAUCCGUAUCGUUCGACGUGAACGUGAACACGCCGCAUCUUGGGGAAGGUGCUUCCGUAAUAUUCACAAUCGGAAAUCCAACCGUUAAUUUGUGGUCUCGGGAUCCGUCCGGGACUAACCGCGUCGUCGCGCAAAACGAUUUUGAAAUGCGUGAGCGAGACGAUAUUAUCUAGGAAAUAAAUAUAUCGUUAAAGGAACGUCGGUGAUGCGGAGAAUGAGAAUAAUGGCGAUGCAAUGGGGGUAUAACGCGGGCCAUUAGUACGAGUAUACCGGUGGUAACGUAACGGAUGGUGGCGUUGAUCUAUUGGCCGACUUUGUCCUUGUCCUCGAGGAAGUUGGCAGAAUUCCAGGGUGAAAGGUACCACGCUGUUGUGUCGAUCUCGCUCGCCAAGAUCACGGACGACGCGAUUGGGAAUCCCGGAUGCGAUCAGCUCGAUGACCGUUACGGCUGAUUAGACAAACGAUUACACAUGAUUGGAAUAGCGCGACAUUGACUUCUUACGAAAACAUUUUCACAAGCAAACACCGAGAGAAAAAAAUUACUAAAUUUUAACAUGUGUUUGAAGACUUGCAAUGACAUAAUUUAUUAAAUGUAAAUAAAUAUUUGUUUAAUACAAGAAUCUACACUAAUGCCAUUUAAUUAUCAUUUUUUUUAUUGAAUGAAUAUUUAUUUAUAUUUAAUAAAUUGUCAUUGCAAAUAUUCAAAUAAAUUUUUUUCUCUCAGUGGACAAAUCUCAUAUUCGAAGCAAAACGAUUUUAUAACAGAAACUCGGAUUGACAAAAAUGUCAAACAUAAGGACUAUGUCAGUCACAGCAGUUCUUAAUGUUAAGUAACGAUUAGUUUUUACAAUCUCUAGCUUAUUCGAAUUGUGCGCUGUAUAUUCAUCAAACUUGAAAAACAGUCAUUAUACUAAGCCAGAUCUGUAAUAUUAAUGCUAAGAAGCAUGUAUACACCCAGAGCAAAGUUACGUUUAAAUUGA